CACCCGCGUACGGGGCUGGAAGCGCACGGCGGUGGCCUCCGGGGCCGCCUUCGCCCUCGCCCUCGGCGGCCUCGGGACGUACGAGGCCCUCGCGGGCACC
rnacentral:tRNA from 1 species